rnacentral:rRNA from 1 species
AACGAACGCUGGCGGCAGGCUUAACACAUGCAAGUCGAGCGCUCCGCAAGGGGAGCGGCAGACGGGUGAGUAACGCGUGGGAAUCUACCCAUCUCUACGGAAUAACGCACGGAAACGUGUGCUAAUACCGUAUACGUCCUUCGGGAGAAAGAUUUGUCGGAGAUGGAUGCGCCCGCGUUGGAUUAGCUAGUUGGUGGGGUAAAGGCCUACCAAGGCGACGAUCCAUAGCUGGUCUGAGAGGAUGAUCAGCCACACCGGGACUGAGACACGGCCCAGACUCCUACGGGAGGCAGCAGUGGGGAAUAUUGGACAAUGGGCGCAAGCCUGAUCCAGCCAUGCCGCGUGAGUGAUGAAGGCCCUAGGGUUGUAAAGCUCUUUCGCCGGUGAAGAUAAUGACGGUAACCGGAGAAGAAGCCCCGGCUAACUUCGUGCCAGCCGCCGCCGUAACAC